rnacentral:misc_RNA from 1 species
GCAAACUUGGUCAUUUAGAGGAAGUAAAAGUCGUAACAAGGUUUCCGUAGGUGAACCUGCGGAAGGAUCAUUAAUGAAGUUUGGCUUGGGAGGGUUUGGGGGUUGUGCUGGUGGGCUCACAUGUGCACACCCCUGCCCUCUCUAUCCUUCACACUUGCACCUGUGCACCCACGGUGUAGAGUGCCGGAAGGGGGCUUUAUCCUGUGAUGAGUCUCCCGGUGGCCUCUGCUGCCUUUUCUAACACACUCCGCUUGUAUGUCUGUAUGUCUCUGAAAUUGUAACGUUUGGAAACAACUUUCAACGACGGAUCUCUUGGCUCUCGCAUCGAUGAAGAACGCAGC